CAGUAGCCACGGUAAUACGAAGGGUGCAAGCGUUAAUCGGAAUUACUGGGCGUAAAGCGUGCGUAGGCGGUUUGUUAAGUCUGCUGUGAAAUCCCCGGGCUCAACCUGGGAAUGGCAGUGGAUACUGGCAAGCUAGAGUGUGUCAGAGGAUGGUGGAAUUCCCGGUGUAGCGGUGAAAUGCGUAGAGAUCGGGAGGAACAUCAGUGGCGAAGGCGGCCAUCUGGGACAACACUGACGCUGAGGCACGAAAGCGUGGGGAGCAAACAGGAUUAGAUACCCGUGUAGUCCCUGUCUCUUAUAC
rnacentral:rRNA from 1 species